rnacentral:rRNA from 1 species
UACGUAGGGUGCGAGCGUUGUCCGGAAUUAUUGGGCGUAAAGGGCUCGUAGGCGGUUUGUCGCGUCGGGAGUGAAAUCCACUGGCUUAACUGGUGGCUUGCUUUCGAUACGGGCAGACUGGAGGUAUGCAGGGGAGAACGGAAUUCCUGGUGUAGCGGUGAAAUGCGUAGAUAUCAGGAGGAACACCGAUGGCGAAGGCGGCAUCCUGGACCGACACUGACGCUGAGGAGCGAAAGCCAGGGGAGCAAACGGG